GACAGAGGGUGCAAGCGUUGUUCGGAAUCAUUGGGCGUAAAGCGCGCGUAGGCGGCUGCGUAAGUCGGAUGUGAAAGCCCAGGGCUCAACUCUGGAAGUGCAUCCGAAACUGUGCAGCUUGAGUCCCGGAGAGGGUGGUGGAAUUCCCAGUGUAGAGGUGAAAUUCGUAGAUAUUGGGAGGAACACCGGUGGCGAAGGCGACCACCUGGACGGAGACUGACGCUGAGGUGCGAAAGCGUGGGUAGCAAACAGG
rnacentral:misc_RNA from 1 species